CGUCUAGGCGGUCAGGUAAGUGGGAUGUGAAAUGCCCCGGCUCACCCGGGGACCGGCAUCUCAUACUGCUUGGCUUGAGUACGGGAGAGGAUGUGGGAAUUCCUGGUGUAGCGGUGAAAUGCGUAGAUAUCAGGAGGAACACCGGUGGCGAAGGCGCACAUCUGGCCCGAUACUGACGCUGAAGCGCGAAAGCUAGGGAGCAAACG
rnacentral:rRNA from 1 species